rnacentral:rRNA from 1 species
UAGAAGCAGCCAUCCUUUAAAGAUAGCGUAACAGCUCACUGGUCUAAACAAGUUGUCCUGCGGCGAAGAUGUAACGGGGCUCAAGCCAUGAGCCGAAGCUGAGGAUGCACAUAGUGCAUGGUAGCGGAGCGUAGUGUGAAUAAACUCGUUCCUCUUUAGCGCCCACCCGGGCGUUUUGGAGGACCAGGUUUGACUGUGAAGCCGGGGCGUGAGCCAUCCGGUGGAGUGAUCACUAGCGAGAAUGAUGACAUGAGUAGCGACAAACAGGGUGAGAGACCCUGUCGCCGAAAGUCCAAGGGUUCCUGCUUAAAGCUAAUCUGAGCAGGGUGAGCCGGCCCCUAAGGCGAGGCCGAAAGGCGUAGUCGAUGGGAACCACGUUAAUAUUCGUGGGCCUGGUGGUAGUGACGGAUCUCGUGUGUUGUAUCUCCUUACUGGAUUGGAGGUGCAGCGAAGAGGUUCCAGGAAAUAGCUCCACCGUAUAGACCGUACCCGAAACCGACACAGGUGGUCAGGUAGAGCAUACCAAGGCGCUUGAGAGAACUGCGUUGAAGGAACUCGGCAAAUUGCC